GUCUAACUCAUCAAAGCGUCUACUCGGGCUUUGCUUUCCAACAAAUUUUUAGUAACCACUAAGAUGACAGUAGUUGCAGGUUUCGGUAUGAAGUUCAGUCGGUAGUCAAACGUGCUCCAACAACGUUGUGAACACGAUUGAAGUUGUGAGACAUCUAGCAGACUCAAAUGGUGACGUCACUUCCGAGUCAUGUCAUUGUUCUUGCGUGGGUAGAGGAUGCGGAGGAUCAACAGUAAGUAAAAGAGGCUGUUAAUUAUAUUGAGGACAUCCAACCGAACAGCUUGUGCCAUCAUGUAAAAUCAACAGCUGUCACUCGACCCAUCUGCUACCACAUUGGGCCAGAUACUCUAAUGAUUAGCUGCACUUCCAGACAGAAUCGGCUGCGGAAGCUG